CCUAGGAGGCUGCAGUGGGGAAUAUUGGACAAUGGGGGGAACCCUGAUCCAGCCAUGCCGCGUGUGUGAAGAAGGCCCUCGGGUUGUAAAGCACUUUCAGUGAGGAAGAACGCCUGGUGGUUAAUACCCAUCAGGAAAGACAUCACUCACAGAAGAAGCACCGGCUAACUCCGUGCCAGCAGCCGCGGUAAUACGGAGGGUGCGAGCGUUAAUCGGAAUUACUGGGCGUAAAGCGCGCGUAGGUGGCUUGAUAAGCCGGUUGUGAAAGCCCCGGGCUCAACCUGGGAACGGCAUCCGGAACUGUCAAGCUAGAGUGCAGGAGAGGAAGGUAGAAUUCCCGGUGUAGCGGUGAAAUGCGUAGAGAUCGGGAGGAAUACCAGUGGCGAAGGCGGCCUUCUGGACUGACACUGACACUGAGGUGCGAAAGCGUGGGUAGCAAACAGGAUUAGAUACCCGAGUAGUC
rnacentral:rRNA from 1 species